AGAGUUUGAUCCUGGCUCAGGAUGAACGCUAGCGGCAGGCCUAAUACAUGCAAGUCGAGGGGUAAGGUCUCUUCGGAGAUACACGACCGGCGCACGGGGUACGCGUAUGCAACCUACCUGUAGCAGGGGGAUAGCCCGUGGAAACAUGGAUUAAUACCCCAUAAAGAUUAGUUAUUACCUGAUAACAAAUCAAAAGAUCCGUCGGCUACAGAUGGGCAUGCGUCUGAUUAGCUAGAUGGUAAGGUAACGGCUUACCAUGGCAACGAUCAGUAGCGGGUCUGAGAGGAUGAUCCGCCACACUGGAACUGAGACACGGUCCAGACUCCUACGGGAGGCAGCAGUAGGGAAUAUUGGUCAAUGGGGGCAACCCUGAACCAGCCAUGCCGCGUGCAGGAAGACGGCCUUCUGGGUUGUAAACUGCUUUUUACAGAGAGGAAACAUUUCGAUUCAUCGGGAUUUAUGACAGUAUCUGUAGAAUAAGCACCGGCUAACUCCGUGCCAGCAGCCGCGGUAAUACGGAGGGUGCAAGCGUUGUCCGGAUUUAUUGGGUUUAAAGGGUGCGUAGGCGGUAUAAUAAGUCAGUGGUUAAAUACUAGGGCUCAACCGUAGAGAUGCCAUUGAAACUGUUAUACUUGAGUACAGUUGAGGUAAGUGGAAUUUAUGGUGUAGCGGUGA
rnacentral:rRNA from 1 species